CAUGGAGGGUGAGAAUCCCGUCCGGCCAACUUUUGGCGCUUUACGAUACACUUUCAAAGAGUCGAGUUGUUUGGGAUUGCAGCUCAAAAUGGGAGGUAAAUUUCUCCUAAGGCUAAAUAUUGGCGAGAGACCGAUAGCGAACAAGUACCGUGAGGGAAAGAUGAAAAGAACUUUGAAAAGAGAGUUAAAUAGUACGUGAAAUUGUUGAAAGGGAAACGAUUGAAGUCAGUCGUACCGACGAUAAAUCAGCUCCUCGAGUGCGGACUUGUGGGCGUGCGUGAGCUUUAAAACCUCGCUGUUUGCAACGUUUGUACUUUUUGGGUGUACUUUUUCGUAUGGUAGGCCAACGUCAGUUUCGAUUACCAUAAAAUGACCGGAGGAAUGUAGCUUCGAUCUCGUAUUGAAGUGUUAUAGCCCCUGGUAGAUGUGGUGACUGAAACUGAGGAUUGCAACGAAUACCCUUUGGGCUAUCCGUCUGAUCUCUGAAAGUUGCUUAGGUGCCGAAAGCGUGCUUACGGUUAUUUAAGUUGACGGUCAAUAGGUUAGAACGUGAUUACAUUCGUUAAGGAUGUUGACGUA
rnacentral:rRNA from 1 species